CCUACGGGUAGCAGCAGUGGGGAAUAUUGCGCCAUGGGCGAAAGCCUGACGCAGCGACGCCGCGUGCGGGAUGAAGGUCUUCGGAUCGUAAACCUCUGUUAGCAGGGAAGAACGGUCACUGUGCUAAUCAGCAGUGAAUUGACGGUACCUGCAAAGGAAGCACCGGCUAACUCCGUGCCAGCAGCCGCGUUAAUACGGAGGGUGCGAGCGUUAAUAGGAAUUACUGGGCGUAAAGCGCUCGUAGGCGGUAUGUCAAGUCAAGGGUGAAAUCCCCGCGCUCAACGGGGGAACUGCAUUUGAAACUGGCAAACUGGAGUGUGUGAGAGGAGAGUGGAAGUACAGGUGUAGGAGGGAAAUCCGUAGAUAUCUGGAGGAACAUCAGUGGCGAAGGCGACUAUCUGGCACAUAACUGACGCUGAGGAGCGAAAGCGUGGGUAGCAAACAGGAUUAGAUACCCUUGUAGUC
rnacentral:rRNA from 1 species